ACGUAGGGACCGAGCGUUGUCCGGAAUUAUUGGGCGUAAAGAGCUCGUAGGCGGUUCUUUAAGUCGGAUGUGAAAUCUCAGGGCUUAACCCUGAAACCGCACCCGAUACUGGAGAACUUGAGGCAGGUAGGGGAGAUCGGAAUUCCUGGUGUAGCGGUGAAAUGCGCAGAUAUCAGGAGGAACACCGGUGGCGAAGGCGGAUCUCUGGGCCUGUUCUGACGCUGAGGAGCGAAAGCGUGGGGAGCAAACAGG
rnacentral:rRNA from 1 species